AGAACGAACGCUGGCGGCAUGCCUAACACAUGCAAGUCGAACGCUCCUGGGGCUUCGGUCUCAGGGGAGUGGCGCACGGGUGAGUAGCGCGUGGGAACCUGCCCUGUUGUGGGGGAUAACCAAGGGAAACUUCGGCUAAUACCGCAUGCGCCCCGGCGAAAGCCGGGGGAAAGAUUUAUCGCAGCAGGAGGGGCCCGCGUCGGAUUAGGUAGUUGGUGGGGUAACGGCCCACCAAGCCGAUGAUCCGUAGCUGGUCUGAGAGGAUGAUCAGCCACACUGGGACUGAGACACGGCCCAGACUCCUACGGGAGGCAGCAGUGGGGAAUAUUGGACAAUGGGGGCAACCCUGAUCCAGCAAUGCCGCGUGAGUGAUGAAGGCCUUAGGGUUGUAAAGCUCUUUCGCCCGCGACGAUGAUGACGGUAGCGGGAGAAGAGCCCGGCUAACUUCGUGCCAGCAGCCGC
rnacentral:rRNA from 1 species